AGGCUUAGCAUCCAACAUGUUAAGUUCUCAAGUUCACAACAACAUAAUGGCCGAAUACUAAAAAGUCGGUGGAAAACCAGCUUAAGCUGGUUGUAUUUAGAAGUUCGUUCAAUUCACACAGGCAGGGUGAUUGAGGUGCAUGCUUCAACAUCUCAGUUUCACACAAGGAACCUACUGCUCUUAAGUGCACCUAAAUGAUUAAAUCAUGCUCAAGUCAACUAAUUUUUUACACAACCUGGCCCCUAAAACUACACGAAGAAGUAGACAUAAUUAGUUCUAGUACAAAGUGUCAUGUGAAAAACGCUCCCACACCCAACCCACGCGCGAGUUAAAGAAAAGCAUUUACUUGUUAAGCAAGUAAAAAUGGAUAACAGUAUCUUCGUGGACACCUUAAAUGACCAACCACGGGAAGCACAAUAAAAUUGUGUAAAACAAAAUCAAUGAAAGCUUUUGCUUCAAUAAAGUUAUCGCUGCUUGCUAAAGGAUAAUAACUUAACAAAUAUUCUCUUAAGGUGGAAAAAGGCUACUAUGAGCUUUGUGGUAUGACAAAUGACUCGGGUGGGAAAAAGGCUAAUAUUCUCUCUCUCUCUCUCAGCUACGAUACUCUCGAUUCCCCAAACAACAAUUAUUCACUCACCAAAUCAAAUCAACUAUGCUCAAUCCCAAAUAGUUAUGGUCUGCUAAUAUCAAUCUCGAAAUUCAUUCCACUCUUCUCGGAUCAAUUGAAUUACAAUCCUAUUCAUUUAAAUUUUUUAGCAAAGUAUCUUCCAAAUGUUAAUUGUCAUAAGCACAUUACAGUUGAACACUACCUACUAGUCCAAACCUCAUAAAAACUAGGCUCAAAUUAACACUAAUCAUAAAUCCUAACCAACUAAUCACUUAAAAAUUCCAAAAUUCUACAUAAAUCGUCCUUUAAUGCUACGUAUUAACAAAUCAUCAGCAGAAAAAUUCCAAAUUCUCAACAGAAAAUCAUACCCGUAAAAAUCUACAAAAUCCUUCAUUUCAAAGAUCCUCAAUUGAAAUAUCAAACAUCAACAAAGGUUAAAUCCGCUCUAUGUACGAAUCAGAUUAACAAGAUUUCAUUCUGAGUUUUCAAAAUUGACUAUCAGCCGAUACAUAGAGCAAAAAUCUACCUUAAUCGAUUCGAUCAAGGCAUAAUUGCUUGUUGUAUUCGGAGAAUAACCAGGCGGUGGAUACUGGAAGCACCGAGACAUCUUCAAAAUCGAAAAAUCAUCAAAAAUUACGGUUUUGCGGAACCGCAGUCGGACUUUUUUAUACUCAACCCUUUUCCGGAAGGAUCGGCGAUUUAUUGGUACGUCAUGCGUCCAAUGGUUGUUGUGAAUUCCAGCCUAAGUUGUCCACUUGGGUUUCCGGUCUUUCAAAAGCCACUCUUAGUCAACUAGCGUAGAGCAAAACCAAAUCCCGAUUUCUAGCGCAUUUUGAACUAAGUCGACCUAACACCCAAGGCGUGUUGGGCCCAUUAGAAGUCUACCUCGUGUCUAUUUGGCCAAUUGGUCAAUAAAAGACAAUCAUAUUUAUGUGUUAAAUUUGUUGGAUGUUUACGUCAUUUCGCAAAACAAUGUCCCUUCGAGUAAGGAGUUUAAGAGUUUGUUUGAGUCAAAUUAGGAUAAAAUUACAAUUGCAUCUGAAGACGUUUACAUUUAGAGAUGGAUGCUUAGUAUAUGAUUGUACCCCUGUGUGAGACCGAUUAUUUGUAUCUUUUUUUUCCUAUUAUGUAUACCCAUUCAAUUUAUUUAUGAUGUUUGUAUAGAUUUUAAUUUUUUGGGGAUAAUAGAAUUUUGUCAAAUGGUGUUAUACAUUCUUCAGAUCGGUAGGCCUAUCUUUGAUAGAAAAGGGUCACAUAUUUGUAUAGGAUGCGCAUUAAUUGUUUAUAUGCUAUGUGAUAUAAUUGAGUUUGUUUCAAUCAAAAUAGUGCUUAUGUGUUUAAUUAAUUUUAUAUUUAUUUAUUUAUUUGUGAUAUUUUGCAUUAUUCAUUAUGAAUAUAAAUUAACACUUUUAUCUUUUGAGUUUAUCUUAUUUUUAAGCGAGAAAUUGAUCUAAAGAGAAUUUAGAAGUCAUUGUUCGUCCAGAAUUGCAAGGGACAAGAGAAUUCGCGAAGUUCAAGUGUUUAUAUCUCACAAGACAUUAAUAUUCAGUCAAAAAGAUAAAUCAGGGGAGUCUUUGACUAUAAGGUCACACUCAUUUUUUAUUUUAUUUUUGUUAUUUUUCAUGUUGGCCCUGCUUUCACAUAUUUCUCAUAUUUUGCAGGGAAACCGUCCCCGACAACAGUCGGGGAUGGUGAUAAUAACGUAUAGUUCUUAGGAAUCAUUGGGAGUAUACACAAUUUGAAGAGACAUCCAAAAGAGAAUACAACAAGUGGUUAUUGUAGAAAUUCGGAGGUCACAUUUAACAAACAGUAUAAAGAUCAACAGUUAAGAGGACGCAAAACAUAUUGGUGGAAACAGUCAGAAGACACUCUCUGACUAAAGAUUUCAACGGCCCUAUAUUUACAAGUUAUCACUCUAAGUUGGUUUAAAUUUUUGAAUAAUUUUAUACCCUAUCUGCACGAACUACGCGUACCUAAUUUUCAUUUUCAUGAGAUACGUAGGCAACCCAUUUUGGGUUCGGUAUUCACUUUUUCAUUUUUUU
rnacentral:lncRNA from 1 species